CUCUUUGUAAUGAAACCCUAAAGUCUAUAUUGUCAUUCCCUUGAACACUCAUUUUGUUAAAGUGGUAAUUAAAAUUUACAACAUUUUUAUUGGGCAUGUGGAGAAAAAGAGAGUAUUAUUAAAUUUCAAUAUUUGGGUGACUUUUUUCUCCAUUUUUUUGGAAUCAUUUCUUUAUUUCAAUAAUGACUUUGAAUUCAUUUUAUCAUUGGACUAAAGGUUUGAUAUGGAUUGCUACCCAACUCGAUCUUAUUACCCUAUUAGUUGAAGUGAAAUGUGUUCUAUUUGUUGAUUUUACAGUGAAAUACGCAUUACAGAAUGACUUACAUAUUGGUUUUUGCAAUUUAUAAAGACAUUCAUCUCGUUAUUAGUAUUGUAUGAAGUUUGACGAAAUUUUAAAAUGUUAAUGUUGAAUUGUAGUUAUGGACACUGUGGAAAUGGUAUGGAUAUCAGUUUGCUAUCCAAUUAAAUAUGAGCAGUCAAUUGAAGGUGUAUGGAGAUGGAAAUAUACAGAAAAUGGCAAAGGAGAAACAACGCCUAUUCUUGUUUUGGAAACAAUUUCUUAUGCAAAAUUGUAUGAUAAAGUCAAAGAGGUGUUGGAAAUCGAUACAAAUCUAUACAAAAUGGAGAUGUCAGCUCUUGUCCCUAUAAUGCGUGAGGCUCCAGCAGCACCGAUCAUCAUUGAUUGUGACAACAAUGUGAAGUGGUUUGUAUCUGUAUGUACGGAAACUUUUCUUUGCGUAACCAUUUCAAAAGAAAUUGAAAAUCACGAAGAAUUUGGUGAUGAUGAUGUUUAUUGCAAAUUGAGGGUGAAAAACAAUUUGGACAUAUGAAAAGCGAGGAGAACAUGUUCAAAUGGACGACGAUGUAACCAUGCCAAUGUUCAUUCCAUUUGCAUUAUUCCAUUUGCAUUGGCCAAGUAGCGGUUGUGACCCUUAAGGUUGUAAUAUUGUUGUGACUUGUAACUUUAUUGUUUUUUACUGUAUAAAACGACUUUAUCAUUGUUAUGUUGCUUUUUCAUGAUGUUAUUGCUUUCG
rnacentral:lncRNA from 1 species